AGGAUACCUAAGAGAUCCAGUUACUGUCAUUGUGAUCCUGAUUUCUCCUGAGGAUGGCAGCUAGAGUCUCUCUCCUCUGAUGAGUAAGGUAUGGGUUAUAUGAAUUUUUUUUUGGAGGCAGAACUGUUGGCUUGAUUAGAACAACAGCAACAACACAGAAGCACAGAAGCAUUCAAAACUUAUCUGUACCUGUGGCCACUACAGUGGAUGUGAAGAACAAGAGGCUGCUUUGUAAAACACAGGUCCUUUCAGAUGCACCAAAUAGUUCUUCUUUUAUAGGUGAGCACAUUAUAGACUGCAGAAUCCAUUGUGGCCUAUUUAUUAUCCAUAACAACCCUCACAA
rnacentral:lncRNA from 1 species